CCUUGUCGGGUAAGUUCCGACCUGCACGAAAGGUGUAAUGAUUUGGGCACUGUCUCAACGAGAGACUCGGUGAAAUUAUAAUACCCGUGAAGAUGCGGGUUACCCGCGACAGGACGGAAAGACCCCAUGGAGCUUUACUGCAAUUUGAUAUUGAGUAGCUGUUAAACAUGUACAGGAUAGGUAGGAGCCAGAGAAGAUAGCACGCCAGUGUUAUCAGAGGCAAUGUUGGGAUACUACCCUUGUUUGAUGGCUGCUCUAACCAGGACCUCUAAGCGAGGUAUGGGACAGUGUCUGAUGGGCAGUUUGACUGGGGCGGUCGCCUCCUAAAGAGUAACGGAGGCGCCCAAAGGUUCCCUCAGAAUGGUUGGAAAUCAUUCACAGAGUGUAAAGGUAUAAGGGAGCUUGACUGCGAGAGCGACAACUCGAGCAGGGACGAAAGUCGGGCUUAGUGAUCUGGUGGUACCGUAUGGAAGGGCCAUC
rnacentral:rRNA from 1 species